rnacentral:lncRNA from 1 species
AUUCAACCCCUCACCUGGGAAAUUCCGUAUGCCAAGGGUGUGGCCCUAAAAAUACAAAAAUAAAUAAAUAAAUAAAUAAAAAUUAAAAGAAAUAUAUAUGCUGUAUUAAAUACUAGAAUUAAUUCCCUGAUAGGCUCCAGAGUUUGCUAUAAAUGGUUAAUGCAUGGAGUGAUGACCAGGAGAUGAUGUAGUGGUGGUGAUUUUGCUGUUGGGUGUUAUGCUUACUGCAUGCCAGGUGCAGUGGAGGGGCUUUAAACUUACUUCCCACUUCACAGGUGAGAAAACCCAGGCCCAGAAACUUGCCUGUGGCCCAUGGCAGAUAGUAUUGGAGACCAGAGACUUCAUGGUUCUGACUCCAGAUUCAGUGCAGGUAACCACACUGAGGUCUUAGGAUCACUUGUGUGCUGACAUUAGGACACCAUUAAGGAAGGAAUUAGCAAGUUCUUUCCUAAAGAACCUGUUGGAGUUCCAUGAAAUGAAGAAUAAUGUAGCUGCAAGCAAAUAGUAAAACCAACAAGGAAAAUAUUUGCAUCAAAUAUGACAGUCCAAGGGUUAUAUAUAUUUUUUAUUUUUUGUCAUUUUUAGGGCCGCACUCACAGCAUAUGGAGGUUCCCAGGCUAGAGGUCCAAUCGGAGCUGUAGCCUCUGGUCCACACCAUAGCCACAGCAACACCAGAUCCUUAACCCGCUAAACAAGGCCAGGGAUUGAACCUGCCUCCUCAUGGACGCUAGUCAGGUUCAUUAACUGCUGAGCCAUGAUGGGAACUCCCAAGGGUUAUAUUUUAUAACAAAUAUUUUAACUGGUGCCUAAAAAAUACCAUGCAGAUAAAUGUUAUGAAUUGGAAUUAGCACAUUGAAUGUGCUUAUUAAACAAAUUUGCAAAAAUCUUAUUAAUAAUAAAAAAUGCAAAUUAAAACAAUAAUGAGAUGGUCAUUUACAUCGUUCAAAUAAAUAAUAGUUUUUGUUUAGUUUUUGUUUUUGUUUUUUGAGACCAAAGCUAGGGAAAUUCUGAGGUCAUUGGUGGGAAGAAAUUAAGUAAAUUAUGGGUGUGUAUAGUCAUCAAAUUAAUUUUGGAAGCAAUACAGUAAUAUAAGAGUACUAAUGAUGUUUAUUGAAAAAGGAAUGAAAAAAUAUUUAUUCUGUGCCUUUGACUGCAAUAAAAUCCAUAGAGGGGUUAGCAGUGAGAGUAAAUACAGAAAAAUAAAGAUAAGGGCUGUAAUGUGAUGGAGAGGUUAGAGGCUCAUCUGAGACCUGUGGACAGGUGAGGUAUUUAUGGCACUGGUGUGUAGAGUUCUGGGUGUAUGAAGGGGCGUGUUCCCAAAUCAGGCUGAGUAGGUAAGUUGAAGCCAAGCUGGGGAAAGCUCAGAUACUGUCAUAAAGAGUUUGAACUUUGUCCUUGGAGGUGUUGGAGAACCAUUGAAAAUAUCAUAAUUAAAUCCGUGGUUGGGAAACUUGACAGCACUAAGAGCUUCAGAGUGGGAGGGAGGCACAUAGGAAGCUUUUUGUAGCCUGGGCAGGUGGUAAUGAGAGUCUCAAUUAGGUGGGACCAGGUGGGGAUGGAAAGGAGUGGAGGGAGCUCCUGAGAGCAUCUGUCAAGUGCUCAGACGUGGGCAUGUGGGAGAGAGGAGAGAGGCAGGGAGAGAGGAUACUGCCUUCUUAGCGUGGAUAGGAUGCUUGUAGGCAGAGUGGGAAGAGCGGCACGAUGCUGACUCCCUUUUGAAGGUGUUGGGAGCACAGUCAUCCUGAGGUGUCCUGCAGUGCUUUCUGCAGAUGGUGGGAAUACAGGUCUUGUCCUCGAGAGCGAGGGAAAUAUUGGCUGUGGAAAUUGGGCACAUUGGCUUGUGGGCAGCGUCGCAGUUGAAUGAGUGGAGGAUGUCCAGGGAGCCUUUAUCUCAGGAGAAAAGGGGAUGGCUGAGGGCAGAACCCUGGGGAGGUCUGAGGUCCAGAGAUGGAUGGAAAGAGGAAUGGAUGAAGCAGUUGGAGAAGGAGCAGUUGGAGGUACGCGUGGAAACGGAACGGAGGUAGAGUCUCAAGAAGGAGCGAGUGGAUGGUGGAGCUGCGGGUCCAGAGGCUGAAGCCUCCUUGGAGGCGUUUGGUUAGGUUACUGGGCAUUGGCUGUACAGGUGACAGUGGAUCAUGGAAGGGGAAGGAGCGAGGCAGAACCCAGAUGGCUGAGAGGUGAGAACUAAACCAAAGUGAUGCGGUAGAUACAUGAGUCUAAAGAACGCAAGACUUGAAAGGGCUCAGAGUUAGCAUUUGCCUGGGACUUGGAGCAGGAUGCAGAACUUUCAGUGCCCCAAUAAGGAAUGUUCUGGGCUACCCGGGACAAGUUGGGUACUCAAUUUAUAUAAAAUUGUGUAAGCUUAACUAUCUGUUCUCUAAGAGCAAGUAAAGCUGAACCCGGAUACCAGAUGUAUAUACAUAAUGCAAUUAAGUAGCAACACAAGGGAACAGAGCUAAACCAAGCUGCCAAUUUAGUGGGAUGGAGAGUUUGGGAUUAUUUUUGAAAAUAUUUUUGGGUUGAAGCAAUCUGGUGAAACUUGGGGGAAAAUAAGCUGUUGUUCUUUUCAAUUUUUAGUUAAAAAAAUCAAGUCAGAGGGGCACAAUACAUCCAUAAAAAGCAAAGCACUGGUGUAAACAUUGAUAGUUUUACACUAAAUGGCUUUUUCAUUUAAGUUUUCCAAUUACUGUGUUAUUUAUUCAGUUUUAAUUUUACACCGAGGGGAAUAAAAAAAAAACAAACCUAUAAUCACACUUCAUUAAUUUGCAUUAAUGGAAAAGUGGUGUGCUAUUGGAUAAGAGAAAGAACUGAGUUUAAAGACAGAGUGCUAAUAACCCCUCAGUCCUAGAAAAGACCCAAGUCAUCUAGUGGAGCUGGCAGUGCACAUGGGACCAUUUUUCCUAGGCUGGCCCUGCCUGCCACCACCUCCUGGGUGUUGGGGUUGCAGACACCUGGUCCAGCUUCCCAACCUCACUGCCUGUUGGUUCCCUGGAGAGGGUGGGUUGUUGGACUCCUGGCUUCCAGGCCCUUUGGGCUUGGAGACAACUUCUGGUUCUCCGUGAUGCCUUUCCUCAUUCCUUGUACAAUCUUUCUAUUGGCAUUAAAUACAAGGUUUGUGAAUCCAAGAUGACUGUCUGGGGCUCUUUCACCUGGAUCCUGGCUGCUUGCUAGGUCUGUACAAAUCACCCACUGAGGCUUCUCUGAAAAAGAGGUUUCAAGAUGCUUGGGGGUGGUUUAUAGUUGAUCACAUGUAUAGAGUGAUCAGCACAGUGCCUGUACUAAUUAUCAUUAGUGGUUAUGUCCCAAUCACUUAUUAACUACAUGACCUUGGACAAUUCUUUCACCCACAUUUUUUUUAAUC